AUAAAACGCAGCAGAUGCCCUGAGCUUUGGAAGAAUUAGAUGAGCCAGGCCUCAUGUACCCUUCAAACCUUUCGCCACCUCUUGAAAGCCAGCAUUGCCAACAGAGACCUUCAAACAGGCAAAACCCUCCACGCACUAUACCUCAAAUCUCUAAUUCCUUUCUCAACCUUUCUCUCCAACCACUUCAUCAUCCUCUACUCCAAAU
rnacentral:misc_RNA from 1 species